UUUUCUCUCUCUCUCUCUCUCUCUACGAUCUACUCCCCCUUCACUCUCUCUACGAUAUGCUUUCCCAAACAAGAGUGAUCUAAUAACCAAACAAGAUUGAGUAAUAAACAAGUUGCAAGAUGCAAGAUCAAGAUGAAUUGAUCAAAGAUUGAUUAACACAACCACACCAAACUGCCACCAACAACAACCACACGACACCACCACAACCACCAGAUCUACCGUGAACUCGAAUCUCCAGUGGAAUCGGAAGGCGGCGAUUAGGGUUCAAUGACGAAGGGCCCUGAUACAGAGUGGGUGUUUGGAUGAUGAUGGUGGUAGGGGUGCGGGUGGGGGUUGUGCGAUGAGGUUAGGGUUCCGACCAAUGCUUACUCAAAACCACCUGAAUUUUAAAGCUACAAAGUGGCUACGGAGAUUGUUGUAAUUGAUGUCAAUAAGGAUUCAAAGAUUCUUAAUGGAACUCAAAUGAGGUUGAUCACGGAGGACACUAAUUGAAGCGUCUCCAAGAGUUCACUUGGAGGGAUUUGAUGAUACUUCAUAUCAAUAUUGUUU
rnacentral:lncRNA from 1 species